rnacentral:rRNA from 1 species
GGACGAACGCUGGCGGCGUGCCUAAUACAUGCAAGUCGAACGAGCUCUCCUAAAUUGAUUUUAUGCUUGCAUAAAUGAUUUUUAGAUUCGGAGCGAGUGGCGAACUGGUGAGUAACACGUGGGUAACCUGCCCCGAAGCGGGGGAUAACAUUUGGAAACAAAUGCUAAUACCGCAUAAUUAGUUGGAACCGCAUGGUUCCAACUUGAAAGAUGGCUCUGCUAUCACUUUGGGAUGGACCCGCGCCGUAUUAGUUAGUUGGUGAGAUAAAAGCCCACCAAGACGAUGAUACGUAGCCGACCUGAGAGGGUAAUCGGCCACAUUGGGACUGAGACACGGCCCAGACUCCUACGGGAGGCAGCAGUAGGGAAUCUUCCACAAUGGACGAAAGUCUGAUGGAGCAACGCCGCGUGAGUGAUGAAGGUUUUCGGAUCGUAAAACUCUGUUGUUAAAGAAGAACAAGUGUUAGAGUAACUGUUAACACUUUGACGGUAUUUAACCAGAAAGCCACGGCUAACUACGUGCCAGCAGCCGCGGUAAUACGUAGGUGGCAAGCGUUGUCCGGAUUUAUUGGGCGUAAAGCGAGCGCAGGCGGUUUUGUAAGUCUGCUGUGAAAGCCCUCAGCUCAACUGAGGAAGUGCAGUGGAAACUACAAAACUUGAGUACAGAAGAGGAAAGUGGAACUCCAUGUGUAGCGGUGAAAUGCGUAGAUAUAUGGAAGAACACCAGUGGCGAAGGGCGGCUUUCUGGUCUGUUACUGACGCUGAGGCUCGAAAGCAUGGGUAGCGAACAGGAUUAGAUACCCUGGUAGUCCAUGCCGUAAACGAUGAAUACUAGGUGUUGGAGGGUUUCCGCCCUUCAGUGCCGCAGCUAACGCAUUAAGUAUUCCGCCUGGGGAGUACGACCGCAAGGUUGAAACUCAAAGGAAUUGACGGGGGCCCGCACAAGUGGUGGAGCAUGUGGUUUAAUUCGAUGCUACGCGAAGAACCUUACCAGCUCUUGACAUCUUCUGCCAACCCAAGAGAUUGGGCGUUCCCUUCGGGGACAGAAUGACAGGUGGUGCAUGGUUGUCGUCAGCUCGUGUCGUGAGAUGUUGGGUUAAGUCCCGCAACGAGCGCAACCCUUAUUAUUAGUUGCCAGCAUUUAGUUGGGCACUCUAGUGAGACUGCCGGUGAUAAACCGGAGGAAGGUGGGGACGACGUCAAAUCAUCAUGCCCCUUAUGAGCUGGGCUACACACGUGCUACAAUGGAUGGUACAACGAGUCGCGAAACCGCGAGGUCAAGCUAAUCUCUUAAAGCCAUUCUCAGUUCGGAUUGCAGGCUGCAACUCGCCUGCAUGAAGUUGGAAUCACUAGUAAUCGUGGAUCAGCAUGCCACGGUGAAUACGUUCCCGGGCCUUGUACUCACCGC